rnacentral:rRNA from 1 species
ACGGGAGGCAGCAGUGGGGAAUAUUGCACAAUGGGCGCAAGCCUGAUGCAGCAACGCCGCGUGAAGGAUGAAGGUCUUCGGAUCGUAAACUUCUGUCCUUGGGGAAGAUAAUGACGGUACCCUUGGAGGAAGCCCCGGCUAACUACGUGCCAGCAGCCGCGGUAAUACGUAGGGGGCAAGCGUUAUCCGGAAUUAUUGGGCGUAAAGAGUGCGUAGGUGGUUACCUAAGCAAGGGGUUUAAGGCAAUGGCUCAACCAUUGUUCGCCCCUUGAACUGGGCUACUUGAGUGCAGGAGAGGAAAGCGGAAUUCCUAGUGUAGCGGUGAAAUGCGUAGAUAUUAGGAGGAACACCAGUGGCGAAGGCGGCUUUCUGGACUGUUACUGACACUGAGGCACGAAAGUGUGGGGAGCAAACAGGAUUAGAUACCCUGGUA